CGUCUGACGGCGUAAUUGACGUAUUUGAUCGAUGGCCACCGAUGACGGGCAACUUUCUAGCGGACAAAAUAAAUUUGCAAUCGGGUUAAACAAAACUACUAAAAUUUCUAUCUGGUUCAUCGCUAUUAACUUUACCCAUCCUUCACCACUCCUACUGCAGAGUUUGGCUCCCACGAGUACCGUGAUUGGGCGUCUCGGUUGUCGUCGUGUUGUGCGAGCCUAUCCUUAAAUCAGGUGGUUGCCACUGCUUGGCCGCAGCACAACAAGGGUUCAUCCUGACCGUCUGCCUUUGUUGGAUUACAACUGCAAAUUGCACUUUAACAUCGACAUCCCCGUGCCGUCGUGUCCACCUCCGCCGCCACAGAAAACGUAUUUUUCACCACUGGUCCGGCCGUGGAAUCUGCUCCCACAAUUGUCUCCGAAUGCAAAUUUUAAACUGCAUCAACUGUACAGGAUGCAAACAGUACCAAAAAGUUCACAAAAGUGAAUCUGAUGAAGUCAAAGAAACGCGUCACAGUGCGGCUCGUGAUCACGAACGAGACGACGACGACGACGACGACGGUCCUCUUCUUUAAUGUGUAUUUCUAUUAUUAAUAUGUAAUUCCUCUUCAUGUAAUAUGUAUAUAACCAUGACCUUUAAUUCUAUCCUUUUUAUGGACAAUUGAUUGAUAUAAAAAAACAAAACAA